ensembl:lncRNA
AUGCAGUGGUGUUUGCAAAACAGCCAGAAAUUGGCAUUAAAAGAGCAAUGGCCAUUUUGGAGGGGAAGAGGUUUGUCAUUGCCCACCGCUGUGAAGCAGAAAACUAGGGGAUGGGUUUGUGCUAGGGGCCUGGAGCCAAGACCCACCAACCGUGUCCUGCACUGCAGCCCUGCAGCGGCGGCUCCCGGUGCGGGGAGCCAGGCUGAGCCCCCCCGUCUGGCGUGCAAGCGGCACACCGUGGUCAGGUCGCCUGUGCGUCCAGGCAGCAGCCUCCAGUCGUGCCACCUGCGGAGGGUCCCGGUGCUUGGCUGUGGCUGCUGCUCUUCUCCUGUGGGCGCAGCGGGUCCCACGCAGGUCAGCGUCCGUGGAGAGCUGUGGGGUGGCACAGUACAGCGGGCAGAGCCAGCUCCCGGCUCCACAUGGCUGGAGCAUGCAGUGCCGGGUGAACAGAGAGGCCAUGUUUGCCCUGGGCUGGUGGGCGAUGGCGUGGCUGCGGCACGGAGAUGCGGAGGCAGCGUCAGGGCGAGCGCGGCAGAGCGGCUGGUGCGCUCCUGCCUGCGCCGUCCCAGCGUGGCUCCCGGCAGAGCCCCGGCGUCGCGGGGCCGCUCAGCCACCCGCCCCGCCGCAGGCAGCUGCAGCUGCGUGGCCGUGCAGGAGCGCGUCCCGGGGGUGCUGAGAUCAGCGGGUGCGGCCGGGAUUCCUGGGCUCCCGCCGGGCUGCUCCAAGUCGAUUUACAGCACUGUUAUUGCCGGGCGUGUUGUGUCGCCCCAGCAACCGGGGCUGAGCCUGGCUGCCCCUUCGCCGGGGCGGGAUGGGCGCUGGGGGUCUCCCCCCGCGUGGAGCGCCGCGGCAGGAUGCGGGGGUGGCUGCUGCAGGGCCAUGGGAAACGCGGCCGGCGCGUGGGCUGGCUCCAGCCGCCGCGUGAUGGGGAAUCCCGCCACUGCCUCCCGCGUCCGGGGCGGGCAGCCCGAGCCCUGCACGGUGCUGGGGGCGGCUCGGUGGGCUGGGGCGCAGGGGCUCAGGGGGGCUCCCCGGCCCCCGCUCCCUCGCCCACGCCGCCUCCACCCGCGGCGCUCCUUCCCGGCGACACUGCUGGCCGUGCGCUUCCCAGGCCAGAGGCUGUGGGAAUGGGCAGCAGCUCCGCGCGCUAGCAGCUGGAUGGGAGCGUGCAGCCAAGUUGGCCGCCAGCCGUGGAUGCUGCGUGGUGUCCCCGUUAGCUCAGCGGCGCCGGCUUCCUCCCGUGACUCAUCCGGGUGGCAGGGCAGGCAGGAAAGGGGCUCGGGAAGCCUGGCGGCCUCGGCGCGGGGUCUCCUUGCGGUGGCUGCCCUGGCUGCCCGUCCCCCCCACAGCGGCACGCGUGGCUCCCGGGCACCCCUGGCCGCAGCGGCGGUGGGGUGCUCCUGGGUGCUGUGCUCGCGCCAGGGCAGGGUCAGGCCGGGUGCCGGUGGGCAGCAGCGGUGUCGGCACAACCCUUGUGCACGCGAGGAGGUGGUAGCGCCCGGCACGCAGUGCCGGUGCCCCAGCGAUGCGGCCAGGCAGGGCCCGCGGCGCCCGCUGCAGCUCUUCCCGGUGGGCGCAAGGCCACGUCCCCUGUGCUGGGGUGUCUGGGGUGUCCCGGGGAGCAGCGGGAGCAAAACCCCUCUGCGCGACCCUGGCUCCUCAUCCCCCAGGUGA